rnacentral:rRNA from 1 species
CGUGAGAUGUUGGGUUAAGUCCCGCAACGAGCGCAACCCCUAUUGUUAGUUGCUACGCAAGAGCACUCUAGCGAGACUGCCGUUGACAAAACGGAGGAAGGUGGGGACGACGUCAAAUCAUCAUGCCCCUUAUAUCCUGGGCUACACACGUAAUACAAUGGCGGUCAACAGAGGGAAGCAAAACCGCGAGGCAGAGCAAACCCCCAAAAGCCGUCCCAGUUCGGAUUGUGAGCUGCAACUCGCCUGCA